rnacentral:lncRNA from 1 species
UUUGUAUUUGUCAAAAGAUGUAUUAUAUAUUGGAUUUAGAGAUCUUGUUAGGCUCUUGAAUUUAGUUGUAUAUUUUUGUAUAUUUGUGGAUCUCUUUAUGAUAGAACAUUAGUGCUUUUAUGCUACUCGCUCUGAUAGCCUUGUUACGAUUUGAUCUUGUUCAUUCUUGUUUUAGUAGACGCCUUGUGUGCAUUGUAUUUGUUUGGUAUACAUGGCGGGUUUGUAUACGCGUCAGGAGGGCUUACGCUGGGCCGGGAUGUGACACUAAUUAAUUAAUUAGUUAAUUGACAUAUUGAUUUAUUUGUUUAUAGAUAAUUAAUUAAUUAACAUGCUUCUCCAUCAUCUUAUACAAUUAUUCUUAGUUGAUUAAUUAAUUGACUAAUUAAAAUAUAAUUUUAUUAAUACUUUAUGCCUAUUAUUUAGAUAAAAUAUUUUUAUUUUUAAUUAUAAUUAUUUUUAAUCCUAUUAUUCUAAUUUAAUCAUCUAAACACAAAUUUUCUUAUUUCUCAAAAUAAUCUAAUUUUUAUCCAAAUACAAAAUUAGUAUAAUUCCUCCUCAUUCGAAAAUUUACACGUAUUCC